rnacentral:rRNA from 1 species
GAGUUUGAUCAUGGCUCAGAUUGAACGCUGGCGGUAGGCUUAACACAUGCAAGUCGUGCGAGAAAGUAUCUUCGGAUAUGAGUAGAGCGGCGGACGGGUGAGUAACGCGUAGGAAUCUACCUAGUAGAAGGGGAUAGCCCGGGGAAACCCGGAUUAAUACCGUAUACCUCCUUCGGGAGAAAGAAGGCCUCUCUUUGAAGCUUUCGCUAUUAGAUGAGCCUGCGUAAGAUUAGCUUGUUGGUGAGGUAAAGGCUCACCAAGGCGACGAUCUUUAGCUGGUCUGAGAGGACGAUCAGCCACAUUGGGACUGAGACACGGCCCAGACUCCUACGGGAGGCAGCAGUGGGGAAUAUUGGACAAUGGGCGCAAGCCUGAUCCAGCCAUACCGCGUGUGUGAAGAAGGCCUUCGGGUUGUAAAGCACUUUAAGCAGGGAGAAAAAGUUAUAAGUUAAUACCUUAUAACCGUGAUGUUACCUGCAGAAUAAGCACCGGCUAAUUCCGUGCCAGCAGCCGCGGUAAUACGGAAGGUGCAAGCGUUAAUCGGAAUUACUGGGCGUAAAGCGCGCGUAGGUGGUUUGUUAAGUUGGAUGUGAAAGCCCUGGGCUCAACCUAGGAACUGCAUCCAAAACUAACUCACUAGAGUACGAUAGAGGGAGGUAGAAUUCAUAGUGUAGCGGUGGAAUGCGUAGAUAUUAUGAAGAAUACCAGUGGCGAAGGCGGCCUCCUGGAUCUGUACUGACACUGAGGUGCGAAAGCGUGGGUAGCGAACAGGAUUAGAUACCCUGGUAGUCCACGCCGUAAACGAUGACAACUAGCUGUUGGAAGACACGUCUUUCAGUGCGCAGCUAACGUUUUAAGUUGUCC